rnacentral:pre_miRNA from 9 species
UUUCGACCGCGUAAAAGUUAACUCUAAUUUGUAUGGAGUUGAAACGUUUGCCUGCGUUUGCCGCUAGGGGCGCUGUUCCAGCUCCAUACAAAUUAGAGUUAACUUUUACGCUAUCGU